rnacentral:rRNA from 1 species
AACCAGCACCUCAAGUGGUCAGGAUGAUUAUUGGGCCUAAAGCAUCCGUAGCCGGCCUUGUAAGUUUUCGGUUAAAUCCAUUCGCUUAACGAAUGGGCUGCCGGGAAUACUGCAAGGCUAGGGAGUGGGAGAGGUAGACGGUACUCGGUAGGAAGGGGUAAAAUCCUUUGAUCUAUUGAUGACCACCUGUGGCGAAGGCGGUCUACCAGAACAUGUCCGACGGUGAGGGAUGAAAGCUGGGGGAGCAAACCGGAUUAGAUACCCGGGUAGUCCCAGCUGUAAACUAUGCAAACUCAGUGAUGCAUUGGCUUGAUGCCAAUGCAGUGCUGCAGGGAAGCCGUUAAGUUUGCCGCCUGGGAAGUACGUACGCAAGUAUGAAACUUAAAGGAAUUGGCGGGGGAGCACCACAAGGGGUGAAGCCUGCGGUUCAAUUGGAGUCAACGCCAGAAAUCUUACCCGGAGAGACAGCAGAAUGAAGGUCAAGCUGAAGACUUUACCAGACAAGCUGAGAGGUGGUGCAUGGCCGUCGCCAGCUCGUGCCGUGAGAUGUCCUGUUAAGUCAGGUAACGAGCGAGAUCCCUGCCUCUAGUUGCCACCACUGCUCUCAGGAGUAGUGGGGAGAAUUAGCGGGACCGCCGUAGUUAAUACGGAGGAAGGAAGGGGCCACGGCAGGUCAGUAUGCCCCGAAACUCUGGGGCCACACGCGGGCUGCAAUGGUAAUGACAAUGUGUUCCAAAUCCGAAAGGAGGAGGUAAUCCUCAAACGUUACCACAGUUAUGACUGAGGGCUGCAACUCGCCCUCACGAAUAUGGAAUCCCUAGUAACUGCGUGUCACUAUCGCGCGGUGAAUACGUCCCUGCUCCU